CGAGAAGUUGCCUUUAAGAUUCUUCGCAGAGACCUCUCAGCUUGUCCGGCUGCCGCUGUCUGAGGCACCAUGAAGACAAGUUUCAUUCUCAGCCUUUGGGUCUUUAACCAACUAGGCUCUGCGCUGGGCGACUCGGUCAAAUCCAAUCAACCCGAAGUGUCUGGAUCAGCUGGAGGUUCUGUGACACUCACCUGUUCUUACACCACCAGCGAUAGCUAUGUCUAUCUCUCUUGAUACCGUCAGUAUCCGAACCAGGCCCCGCAGUACAUUCUCUGGAGAGGAGCGAAGUCCGCCAGCCAGCUCAGUGAUACCGCAGACUUUGCCCAGAAGAGGUUUUCUUCCCAGGCUAAUGACAGCGCCACAGUUCUGAAUAUCAGAGCCCUGGAGCUGGCGGACAGCGCGGUGUAUUACUGCGCCCUGCAGAGAGCACAGUGACAGAGCCACAUAGGGGAGCCGAACACAAACCCUCCCUUCCCAGCUGCAGAUAAUGUCCACAUUGAGGUUGGAAGCGGAGCCCCUCGGGAGUUUUGCUGGUUAAAAAACACAUAUUCUGGCUCCAGCGUGGUGCUGUCAGAUUACUCCUUCCUAAUCUCUCCAAACGGC